rnacentral:rRNA from 11 species
GACUCUCGGCAACGGAUAUCUCGGCUCACGCAUCGAUGAAGAACGUAGCAAAAUGCGAUAACUUGGUGUGAAUUGGCAGAAUCCCGUGAACCAUCGAGUUUUUGAACGCAAGUUGCGCCCGAAGCCAUUCGGUUGAGGGCACGUCUGCCUGGGCGUCA